GGGGGGGGAGGCGGGUGUAGACGCCUCGGGUUGUUUUCAUUCCUGUGUCCAGCUGCCCGUCUGUGUGGCCCCGCGGCCGGUCGUUAUCUCCUGUCCCUUCCCCAGGCUGACUGCGUGUAGGCCCGAGGGCCCCGCCGACCUUCCGAGUCCCGUUAACAGGCGCCUGCACGCCUUCUGCCCCCUCUUAUCCUGGCCGCGUCGGGACUCCGCGAUCCCGGAGCUGGGCGGGUUUCACCCAGAGCUCCCCUAGCAGGGGAGAAAAGACAUUUAAGUGUAGACAUAACUAUAAUAGUCCCAUCAUGUCUCUUUUAAAAAGCUCUCUUUUAGAAAGGCGCCGAGAAUCCACCCAUCCAAUUAAAUAUUUACUGAGUGCCUACUAUGUACUAGGCACUCUCCUAGGGGCUGGGGUAAAACAGCAAAACCAAACCCCACCGUCUUGGACGGUCCAUAAUGCUGUGGGGAGAAAGCAAAUAGGUGGGAGAGACACCAGCCUGUCUGCUGAUGGGAAUGAUCCAGGGGAUGAUGGAGUUGGAGUUGGAGUUGGAUAAUCGGAGGUGAAGGCUGGGUCUCAGGAGAACUUCUUGGUUCCCCCUCAUUCCACUGGUUUGAGUCUCCUGGGCCCGCUCCCAGCUGCAAGCCCCCUCGAGCGUUGGAAGGACAGAGGAGUGUGGUUCCCAUUUGUUUGCGCACUCAGCAGCAGAGGGUUUGGAAUGUUCCAGAAACAGAAAGGUGAGGCUGGCUACCUCCAGAUAUUUGCUCCUGCUGUUCCCUCUGCCUAGAAUGCUCUUCCCUUAGCCCUUUGGAAAGCUGGCUUAUUAUCGUUUGGGCCUCAGCCCAAGACCCCGAGAGGGGUGCCCGAGCUAACAGAAGCUCCUGCAAAGGCCCUCCCCGAAAGCCUCUUAGCUGCAUUCCUUACUCACCAGGAGCUGACGGUACCUUGAUUCUCAUUUGUUUGCACUCUGUCGCCUGUCUCUACACUGGACUAGAAGGUGCACAGGGUGGGGACUUUGACUCUGGGGUACCCCCCCCCCCCCAGCACCAGAGGAGGGCCCGGCACAUAGUCAGUAUU